rnacentral:lncRNA from 1 species
AGAUGUCACUUGCCCUGUGGUAAGGAAGUGUAGUUGGCAGCUGGUGCAGUGGCAAGAAGAGAAAGGAAGUUCCCCAAGACAGAAACAUCUCGGCAGGUUUGGAAUAGUUCACCAGUGAAGUCAUCUCAACCAGCACAGGGCCUUGACUCCUAACAACAAUCACACGAACUUGGAAGAGGAUCCUUCCCCAGCUGAAACUUCACUUGAGACCUUCUCAUUGGCCAUCAUCGACAUCUGGAUUCAUGAUACAGAGAAACUGCUUUGAAUAACUCACCAGUGAAGUCAUCUUGACCUGGACAGAAAUUGAAUCCUCCCAAGAAUCCCAGGAGCUUGGAAGGGGAUCCUUCCCCAGAUGAGCCUUCCCUUGAAAUCUCUGCCAGGCAUCUGACCCAGAGAAACUGUCAGAGAGGUUAAUCCUAAGAACAGUUACAUAAGCUUGGAAGGAGACCUUUCCCCAGAUGGGCCAUAGCCUGGGCCAUCACCUACAUCUGGACUGAAGAACCAGAGAAACUACUCCAUCAGGAAUCGUUUGGGACCGUGGGUUCUGUUGACACUCACAUUGUGUAAUUAUGUUGCCCACUGCCAACCCUAAAGCCACCAAGGUAGCAGGUUUCAAAUAAUUCAUCAGUGAAUUCUCCUCAACCUGGUCAAUCAUGUGAACUUAGAAGAUGAUUCCUCCCCAGCUGAUCCUCAGGUGAGACCUCAGCCUUGGCCAUCAUCUAUAUCUGGAUUCCUGACCCAGAGAAACUGAAUACACUUUACUGAAUCAUGAAAAGCUGUAAAUAGCUGAAAAGAAAAAUGUGGUCUUGACUCUGAAAAACAACAAAAAGGAUCAGCAACAUUUCAAGCAACAAGUCAUAAAACGAUUACUGUGGUCUUGUAUUAGUUCAGUCCAUGCAGUGAACUUUGUCUGACAUUGGGCCUGCAGUCCUCAUAAACAUACCAGCUAUCUCU